GGGUUGUGAGGUUAAGCGACUAAGCGUACACGGUGGAUGCCCUGGCAGUCAGAGGCGAUGAAGGACGUGCUAAUCUGCGAAAAGCGUCGGUAAGGUGAUAUGAACCGUUAUAACCGGCGAUGUCCGAAUGGGGAAACCCAGUGCAAUUCGUUGCACUAUCGUUAACUGAAUACAUAGGUUAACGAGGCGAACCGGGGGAACUGAAACAUCUAAGUACCCCGAGGAAAAGAAAUCAACCGAGAUUCCCCCAGUAGCGGCGAGCGAACGGGGAGCAGCCCAGAGUCUGAAUCAGCUUGUGUGUUAGUGGAACGGUCUGGAAAGUCCGACGGUACAGGGUGAUAGUCCCGUACACCAAAAUGCACAGGCUGUGAACUCGAAGAGUAGGGCGGGACACGUGGUAUCCUGUCUGAAUAUGGGGGGACCAUCCUCCAAGGCUAAAUACUCCUGACUGACCGAUAGUGAACCAGUACCGUGAGGGAAAGGCGAAAAGAACCCCGGCGAGGGGAGUGAAAAAGAACCUGAAACCGUGUACGUACAAGCAGUGGGAGCACCUUCGGGUGUGACUGCGUACCUUUUGUAUAAUGGGUCAGCGACUUAUAUUCUGUAGCAAGGUUAACCGUAUAGGGGAGCCGCAGGGAAACCGAGUCUUAACUGGGCGUUAAGUUGCAGGGUAUAGACCCGAAACCCGGUGAUCUAGCCAUGGGCAGGUUGAAGGUUGGGUAACACUAACUGGAGGACCGAACCGACUAAUGUUGAAAAAUUAGCGGAUGACUUGUGGCUGGGGGUGAAAGGCCAAUCAAACCGGGAGAUAGCUGGUUCUCCCCGAAAGCUAUUUAGGUAGCGCCUCGUGAACUCAUCUUCGGGGGUAGAGCACUGUUUCGGCUAGGGGGUCAUCCCGACUUACCAACCCGAUGCAAACUACGAAUACCGAAGAAUGUUAUCACGGGAGACACACGGCGGGUGCUAACGUCCGUCGUGAAGAGGGAAACAACCCAGACCGCCAGCUAAGGUCCCAAAGUCAUGGUUAAGUGGGAAACGAUGUGGGAAGGCACAGACAGCCAGGAUGUUGGCUUAGAAGCAGCCAUCAUUUAAAGAAAGCGUAAUAGCUCACUGGUCGAGUCGGCCUGCGCGGAAGAUGUAACGGGGCUAAACCAUGCACCGAAGCUGCGGCAGCGACACUAUGUGUUGUUGGGUAGGGGAGCGUUCUGUAAGCCUGCGAAGGUGUGCUGUGAGGCAUGCUGGAGGUAUCAGAAGUGCGAAUGCUGACAUAAGUAACGAUAAAGCGGGUGAAAAGCCCGCUCGCCGGAAGACCAAGGGUUCCUGUCCAACGUUAAUCGGGGCAGGGUGAGUCGACCCCUAAGGCGAGGCCGAAAGGCGUAGUCGAUGGGAAACAGGUUAAUAUUCCUGUACUUGGUGUUACUGCGAAGGGGGGACGGAGAAGGCUAUGUUAGCCGGGCGACGGUUGUCCCGGUUUAAGCAUGUAGGCUGGUUGUCCAGGCAAAUCCGGAUAAUCAAGGCUGAGGUGUGAUGACGAGGCACUACGGUGCUGAAGUAACAAAUGCCCUGCUUCCAGGAAAAGCCUCUAAGCAUCAGGUAACAUCAAAUCGUACCCCAAACCGACACAGGUGGUCAGGUAGAGAAUACCAAGGCGCUUGAGAGAACUCGGGUGAAGGAACUAGGCAAAAUGGUGCCGUAACUUCGGGAGAAGGCACGCUGGUGUGUAGGUGAAGCCCCUGCGGGUGGAGCUGAGACCAGUCGAAGAUACCAGCUGGCUGCAACUGUUUAUUAAAAACACAGCACUGUGCAAACACGAAAGUGGACGUAUACGGUGUGACGCCUGCCCGGUGCCGGAAGGUUAAUUGAUGGGGUUAUCCGUAAGGAGAAGCUCUUGAUCGAAGCCCCGGUAAACGGCGGCCGUAACUAUAACGGUCCUAAGGUAGCGAAAUUCCUUGUCGGGUAAGUUCCGACCUGCACGAAUGGCGUAAUGAUGGCCAGGCUGUCUCCACCCGAGACUCAGUGAAAUUGAACUCGCUGUGAAGAUGCAGUGUACCCGCGGCAAGACGGAAAGACCCCGUGAACCUUUACUAUAGCUUGACACUGAACAUUGAGCCUUGAUGUGUAGGAUAGGUGGGAGGCUUUGAAGCGUGGACGCCAGUCUGCGUGGAGCCAACCUUGAAAUACCACCCUUUAAUGUUUGAUGUUCUAACGUUGGCCCCUUACCGGGGUUGCGGACAGUGUCUGGUGGGUAGUUUGACUGGGGCGGUCUCCUCCCAAAGCGUAACGGAGGAGCACGAAGGUUAGCUAAUCCUGGUCGGACAUCAGGAGGUUAGUGCAAUGGCAUAAGCUAGCUUGACUGCGAGCGUGACGGCGCGAGCAGGUGCGAAAGCAGGUCAUAGUGAUCCGGUGGUUCUGAAUGGAAGGGCCAUCGCUCAACGGAUAAAAGGUACUCCGGGGAUAACAGGCUGAUACCGCCCAAGAGUUCAUAUCGACGGCGGUGUUUGGCACCUCGAUGUCGGCUCAUCACAUCCUGGGGCUGAAGUAGGUCCCAAGGGUAUGGCUGUUCGCCAUUUAAAGUGGUACGCGAGCUGGGUUUAGAACGUCGUGAGACAGUUCGGUCCCUAUCUGCCGUGGGCGCUGGAGAAUUGAGGGGGGCUGCUCCUAGUACGAGAGGACCGGAGUGGACGCAUCACUGGUGUUCGGGUUGUCAUGCCAAUGGCACUGCCCGGUAGCUAAAUGCGGAAGAGAUAAGUGCUGAAAGCAUCUAAGCACGAAACUUGCCCCGAGAUGAGUUCUCCCUGAGACUUUAAGUCUCCUGAAGGAACGUUGAAGACGACGACGUUGAUAGGCCGGGUGUGUAAGCGCAGCGAUGCGUUGAGCUAACCGGUACUAAUGAACCGUGAGGCUUAACCUUACAACGCCGAAG
rnacentral:rRNA from 2 species